ensembl:lncRNA
AUUAUUUAUACUAUUUAAUUUGAUAAUUAUUAUAUAUUUGUUUGUUUAAUGCCUAAAAGAUAAUUUCUUGACUAAUUUUCUCCCGUAAUUUAUGUAUUUAUUUUAUUUAUGAAAUUAUGACGUUUUUUGAGACCUCAUUUAUAAGUGCAUCAUUAUGACUGUGUUCAGUUUUACAGAUAUAAUGAAGGGUACAUUCAGCGUGUCUGUCAGUCUGUUGCUGCUGUGUGUUUUGUGGGGUGACAGUCAGCCUGUACACACUGCUGCUCACACUGUCAGAGAGAUGAUAGAGCUCCUGAGAGCGAUGACUCCAGUCAAUGAGCAGGAGGAUCAGGACACAGAGCUGAUGGACUCUCCCGAGGUUCUGUGGCCUAAUACUGAGGAUCUGGAGAAAAGAGACCUGCCACGUCUAGGAGUAGCAAUACAUAGGGCUUUACCCUCAAGAGUCCACAGCAGGUAAUCAAAUAACCACUGACAUGCUGUUCUUAUAAAACAGCAGCACAUGAUUUUUUAAAGGCCAUUAAGGUUUCCCCCAAAAAAUCUUAAAUGAUCAAUUCUUAAAAGAACCAUUUUUUCUUAGUGUACACUACAUAAUAUUUUGGAACAAUUUUCCACUAAGAAAGAACCUUUUAUGCAAUGGAAAUGUUCCAUGUAUGUUAAAGGUUCUUAAUGGCACCAGAUGCCUUUAUUUGUAAGAAUGUACUUUGUGCCCUAUACAUGAGCAAAAACGUGUUUAUUUUUUAUAUAUAUAUUCUUUAUAUUUUAUAUAAAUAGAGUAAAAGUGACAAGUGGUGUUUAACACAUUAUAGCUUAACUGUGGCUUGUAUUUUUCUUUGUGUGUGUGUGUGUGUGUGUGUGUGUGUGUUCAGUAAGUCCGUAGAUGCAUCUAGAUAUCGUUUGUCUUCUCCAGCUAAGUGGAUGUCCAGUCUCCAAGGUUGAAGAAUAGUAAUUGUUUGAUUCAUCUGUCUCAAAAAUGCUUGAAGGUUUACACACAACUCUCAUCCGCAUGAAGAACUCAUUGUUAGACAAUAAAUAAAAGGAGUUACAAAAUAUAUACA